CCGAAACUAAGUGAGCUACUUUAAAAUAGCUAUAGAGCCAACCCGUCUCUGUUGCAAUAGAGUGGGACAAUUUUUAAGUAGAGGUGAUAAACCUACCGAACUUAGAGAUAGCUGGUUUUUUAAGAAAAGAUUUUUAGUUCAACCCUAAGUCUCCCAUUAUACAAAAACAAAACUAGUCUUAGGAGCUAUUCAAAUAAGGCACAGCUUAUUUGAAACAGGAUACAACCUAGAAUAAAGGGUAAGAUAAACUAAUUCUUUGACAAGUGGGCCUAAAAGCAGCCACCUUUUAAAAAGCGUCAAAGCUUAACAUCAACAAAAUCCUUAAUACCAUCAUCAACUUCUAACCCUCACACAAUAUUAAAAAACCCCAUAACAUUAUGGAAGUUAUUAUGCUAGAACAAGUAACAAGAAAAAGACUUUCUCCAAAAUGUAAGCUUAAGCCACAACAGACAAACUAGUGGCAAUUAACGUUUAUGAGCCCCUUAUAGCAACACUGACAAGAAAACCCUAUAUCCGCAACCGUUAACCUUACACUAGCACAU
rnacentral:rRNA from 1 species